rnacentral:lncRNA from 7 species
ACGGUGGGAACACAAACUGGUUUGUAGUGGUGUAAGGGCUGCUUGCUUAAUGUUUCCGAACGUUCAUUUAAUACUGUUUUUCUAAGAUCAAGUGAGUUGGGCUCAGACAUGAAUUGCAGAGGUUCCAGAAGGACAGACCUGGCAGACACAGAUUGCCAAGGUUUAUUCACAUCUUGGAUGGUCCUUUUUUUUUUCUGUAUGCAGUAGCUGUUGUACUACAGGUGGCCCUGUGGUGUUCGGAGUCCUGAGAGAAACCAGCCUGGGAGUGCUGUGAUUGCUCAGCCACUUGGGGUGAAGGCAGCCGUUGGAUUUUCCCCUGGAUCAGCUUUUGAACUGCAUUAAAGAGGAAGGAGCAGAAAGAAGGCAGCAGAAGGCCCCUCCUACAUUCCAGAUUAAUAGACCGGCUGGAGGUGUGACAUUGCCACGAGCUAUGGUGAAGUUUCUGAAGCAGCCGCUGUGGGAAGAAGCAGGAGUGGGAUGUAGCUGCGUAAGACAGGAAAUACAAUCAGGGUGGAAUUCAAGCUUGACAUGCAGAAACAUGCAGUGAGGAUGCAGAAAUAUUUCUGUACUGUAAGUUCUGGCUGAAUUCAGUCAUGAGGACAAAGAGUCAGGGGUGAUGGAAAUGGGCAACUUCAAAAUGAGAUCUUUGCCUCUACAUGUAAUGAGAGUAACAGAGACCACACCACUGCCCUGCAGGCUACAGAAGCGCAACUCGUAGGCAUGAGAACUAGGGCUGGUGACGUCGUUUUCCAGCAGGUAUUAAUUUGCUGGGUUUGGGUGGUUUGUUCCUGUGAAAAAUGUCAGGUAUAAAUACUGUUACCUGGAAAGAGACCAUCAGGCACAGAUCUUUUUUUUUUUUAUUUUUUUAAAGUAUGCGUGUUAAGGCUUCAAAGCUUCAAAGUCUGCUGAAUGGCAGUCCCUGAGAAUGGAUUAGAUAAAAUCUGAUUAAGAAAUGUAUCAUUUCCUUCUGAGAAACCUGAAAUAAAGAACACUUCUC